GGACGGGUGCCCGAGUGGACUAAGGGACCGGUCUUGAAAACCGGCGUAUCGAAAGGUACCGUGGGUUCGAAUCCCUCCCCGUCCG
rnacentral:tRNA from 1 species